UACGUAGGGGGCGAGCGUUGUCCGGAUUUAUUGGGCGUAAAGGGCUCGUAGGUGGUUCGCUAAGUCGGGCGUGAAAUCUCCAAGCUUAACUUGGAGCGGUCGUUCGAUACUGGCGUGACUUGAGUACGGUAGGGGACCACGGAAUUCCUGGUGUAGCGGUGAAAUGCACAGAUAUCAGGAGGAACACCGGUGGCGAAGGCGGUGGUCUGGGCCGUAACUGACGCUGAGGAGCGAAAGCGUGGGUAGCAAACAGG
rnacentral:rRNA from 1 species